rnacentral:rRNA from 1 species
CACGUAGGGGGCAAGCGUUGUCCGGAUUUAUUGGGCGUAAAGAGCUCGUAGGCGGUCUCGUAAGUCGGGUGUGAAAACUCUAGGCUCAACCUAGAGACGCCACCCGAUACUGCGAUGACUAGAGUCCGGUAGGGGAGUGUGGAAUUCCUGGUGUAGCGGUGAAAUGCGCAGAUAUCAGGAGGAACACCGAUGGCGAAGGCAGGUCUCUGGGCCAUAACUGACGCUGAGAAGCGAAAGCAUGGGGAGCGAACAGG